rnacentral:rRNA from 1 species
AGAGUUUGAUCAUGGCUCAGAUUGAACGCUGGCGGCAGGCCUAACACAUGCAAGUCGAGCGGUAGCACAGAGAGCUUGCUCUCGGGUGACGAGCGGCGGACGGGUGAGUAAUGUCUGGGAAACUGCCUGAUGGAGGGGGAUAACUACUGGAAACGGUAGCUAAUACCGCAUAAUGUCGCAAGACCAAAGUGGGGGACCUUCGGGCCUCAUGCCAUCAGAUGUGCCCAGAUGGGAUUAGCUAGUAGGUGGGGUAAUGGCUCACCUAGGCGACGAUCCCUAGCUGGUCUGAGAGGAUGACCAGCCACACUGGAACUGAGACACGGUCCAGACUCCUACGGGAGGCAGCAGUGGGGAAUAUUGCACAAUGGGCGCAAGCCUGAUGCAGCCAUGCCGCGUGUGUGAAGAAGGCCUUCGGGUUGUAAAGCACUUUCAGCGGGGAGGAAGGCGGUGAGGUUAAUAACCUCAUCGAUUGACGUUACCCGCAGAAGAAGCACCGGCUAACUCCGUGCCAGCAGCCGCGGUAAUACGGAGGGUGCAAGCGUUAAUCGGAAUUACUGGGCGUAAAGCGCACGCAGGCGGUCUGUCAAGUCGGAUGUGAAAUCCCCGGGCUCAACCUGGGAACUGCAUUCGAAACUGGCAGGCUAGAGUCUUGUAGAGGGGGGUAGAAUUCCAGGUGUAGCGGUGAAAUGCGUAGAGAUCUGGAGGAAUACCGGUGGCGAAGGCGGCCCCCUGGACAAAGACUGACGCUCAGGUGCGAAAGCGUGGGGAGCAAACAGGAUUAGAUACCCUGGUAGUCCACGCCGUAAACGAUGUCGAUUUGGAGGUUGUGCCCUUGAGGCGUGGCUUCCGGAGCUAACGCGUUAAAUCGACCGCCUGGGGAGUACGGCCGCAAGGUUAAAACUCAAAUGAAUUGACGGGGGCCCGCACAAGCGGUGGAGCAUGUGGUUUAAUUCGAUGCAACGCGAAGAACCUUACCUGGUCUUGACAUCCACAGAACUUAGCAGAGAUGCUUUGGUGCCUUCGGGAACUGUGAGACAGGUGCUGCAUGGCUGUCGUCAGCUCGUGUUGUGAAAUGUUGGGUUAAGUCCCGCAACGAGCGCAACCCUUAUCCUUUGUUGCCAGCGGUUAGGCCGGGAACUCAAAGGAGACUGCCAGUGAUAAACUGGAGGAAGGUGGGGAUGACGUCAAGUCAUCAUGGCCCUUACGACCAGGGCUACACACGUGCUACAAUGGCAUAUACAAAGAGAAGCGACCUCGCGAGAGCAAGCGGACCUCAUAAAGUAUGUCGUAGUCCGGAUUGGAGUCUGCAACUCGACUCCAUGAAGUCGGAAUCGCUAGUAAUCGUAGAUCAGAAUGCUACGGUGAAUACGUUCCCGGGCCUUGUACACACCGCCCGUCACACCAUGGGAGUGGGUUGCAAAAGAAGUAGGUAGCUUAACCUUCGGGAGGGCGCUUACCACUUUGUGAUUCAUGACUGGGGUGAAGUCGUAACAAGGUAACCGUAGGGGAACCUGCGGUUG